GAGACAAAUACAAAGACAAGACGUGGGAUGAUUUUCCGCCAGUACAAAUGAAAAGUUUUUCAACAGAUCUGUGCUUAGUUUUAUAGUCUAAAAUUGUUCAGAAAAGACUACGAAAACAAUGAUUCAGUGUUCUUUCUUUGCUGUACAUCACCUUCAUACAGAAUUCAGUCCUUAUUCUCAGUUUAAAAAAGGCUUGAGGUAAAAAUUAAAUGAGAUCCUCACAGCUGGUCAGAUGGUCUGUAGGCUUUUCUUUAUCUUCACCUUCAUUAUAUCUCAACCACAAUUCAAGACUACAUAGCAAAGAAAUUCUAUUUAAAAAACAGCACAAAGGAAUCUGUUCUUUCUCAGGUCAGGACAGGAGCAUUGGCAUAGCAACAUCUUAAAUUUAGAAACAUUGCCUAACGUGCUUACUUUGCUCUAUUUUUUUCUGCUAUUCUGGCAUAUUUUAGAGGCCGUGUUGCCAUUUAGAAAACAUGAAUAUGGUUGGAGAAAACAGGUUCUUUGACGUGUUGGAAGUUGCAGCAUGCAAUUGGUCCCAAAAACUCCCCCAUCUUGAAGUAAGACACUGCUGUGAGAGCAGCAACAGUAGCAGCAGAGCAUUCUGGGCCAUUAUGGCUCAUUAAAGUGUGCAACGCAUAAAAAACAUCAAAGCAAUAAAUGGUUUAACGUUCCACACAAACCAAACUUCACUAAAGGUCUAUCACUGUAUAAAGUGGUAAUGAAAGAAAGCAGUAGACAACUUCAAACAAGAAAUUCUUCAGUGUGUUACGACACCACCUGCUUGGGAAAAGGGAAGCAGAAGAAUUAAUAACUACAUGGAUGUUGCUGAAUCACUAUUUUCAAUGGGUAAAGCUUUCAAAGUCAACAGUGUGAGAAGAAGAGAACUCCAGUGGAUGCUACUCAAUUAAAAAAUAAAGCAAACUGAAAGACAGUCUCACUACUUCUCUAACCUAUACUAAGCAUAAAGGAGCAAAAUCAAGUCUGAAGUGACUUGAGCUGCACUGUAGCGCUGAACUUCUCAAAGAAAACCCACAAAACACUUAAAUGUAGAUGUAUAAACCGUGUUUGUCACCCCCUAAAGUCUAUAUAAGGUUGAGCAGAUGUGUGAAUAGUGCAGGUAGAAGUCCAACACAUUAAAUAAAUAAAUGCAAUGCUAAUGCAAAACUAAACCAGAACAUGAAGUCAAGCUGCUCACACUAAAUCACAGCUGCACUGAGUGACAAUCUUACUACACUUUCAAAGCAUAAAGGUGAUUAUGACUGCACUUGUGGUACAUCCAUCUAUUUAUCUAUCUAUCUAUACACACACACACACACACACACACUCACACACACAGACACACACACUCCGACCUCAAUAACCUCUUCAUCUCCUACUGCUUCCUUUGAGGUCCUCAUUUCCCUGCACCAGUUCGAUGCUGUGAAGAUGGCAGAGAUCCAAAAGUAGGAGCAGGAGGAGUCUUUAUGACAGCUAAUCCGAGAGCUUCUAAGCACCAUUCAGCUCCUGUAAUGAGUGAAGAAAAACCUGGUGGCUGACUAUAGAAGAGAAAGCCAGAGAAGCCUUGUGGGCCUGCAGAUCAAAAUGCGUUCAAAGCGUAUCGAGGAACCUGUUAUGUGAUGAGUCACAUUAGCUUACUGGCGAACGAGCACUUGAAGAUGAAUCCUUACAGCCCACCCAACAGUGGAAGGAUAAAAAAAAAAAAAGCCUGAAAUUAGGAGGGGAGAUUAUUGUCAGGGCCAAGACGUAUACUGAGGCAUAAAUCAAACAAGGGUCUUCCCAAUGCAUGUGGGCAGGCUUGCUUAUAUGAUCUUUUUUUAUUGCAUUUUUCCCCUGGGUGCAUCUUUAGUGUGCAGCCAUAUACAUUCUCAUUUAUAGGCUGGAGCCAAAGCAAAUUUGCCGUUGGAGGUUUUAUCACAGUGUUUACUCUUCCAAACUUGAUCCCUAUUGCCUCUCUUAUUCUCUCCGUUUUUCUUUCUUCCAAAUACAUUUCAACAUGCUGUUAUUAUCAGUAUCAAACAAACUCUGAGGCUCCCCGGCUGCUGCCCUACAGCUGUGAGACAUUACAGAAUAACCGAGAAGUUUAAUUCUUUGCUGCUCCUUAUUAGACCUGUCGUCGCUCCGCUGAGGUGAAGCCACCAAGAAUGCUUCUCCUUUUGUGUCAGGGCAAAAUUAAAACGCCCAAGGCUCUUUUAAUUUACAAUAUUUCUCCCCUAGACUCAGUUUCGUUACUCUGAAUGCUACCAUAAACUCUCCUAACAAGACAGAUAUAGUGCGCUACAACAGUGAAUUCCUCUGGCUUGGCUGUAAGGAGAAUGAACACCAAAUUGAGAAAUAGAUUAGGGAUAAAACAGUCAUUCACCUCAGAAGCAGAUUCUCUUCGGCAACCUGACAGGUCAAGACGGGCGGGGAGUUACAGGGUCUGCUCAAUUAUCUUUCCUUUUUGCAUAAGUGUUAGGAUUUAGGUUCAUUGUUUAAUUUAAUUUAAUAGGAAAAUUCUCAGUAUCCCUCUUUGACAGCCAAUCAGUGGCCUCACUAGGAAAUGGUCACCAGAAGCUGAGUUCUCACUCAGAUUUAAAACCUAUAUGAUUUUACCUGACGUUGACUUGGGCACUGCUGCUAAAAGUUUGGCAUUUGUGCAAAAGUAUCUCCAAAGCAAGCAGACUACUUUGCCUUUGUGGAAAUUAUAAAAGAGUACCCUCUGUCUUUAGACAUGUUCAAGAUCUGCAUAGGCCUA